AUAAGUACACUCAAAAUUAAGUAUCACGAAUUAAGUCUGUUUAAACUUACACACUUAACUAGUACCAUGAGUAAAAUCAUGUCAAUGGUUUAUAUGUUACCUUUAAUUGGUAUCAAGUAAGUCAUGUGAAAGCUGUACUGUUACUUUGUAACAUUUUUUUGAACUGUUACAUUUGUUAAACUUACACACUUAACUAGUAC